rnacentral:rRNA from 1 species
GAUGAACGCUGGCGGCGUGCCUAAUACAUGCAAGUCGAGCGAACAGAUGAGAAGCUUGCUUCUCUGAUGUUAGCGGCGGACGGGUGAGUAACACGUGGGUAACCUACCUAUAAGACUGGGAUAACUCCGGGAAACCGGGGCUAAUACCGGCUCAUAUUUUGAACCGCAUGGUUCAAUAGUGAAAGACGGCUUCGGCUGUCACUUAUAGAUGGACCCGCGCCGUAUUAGCUAGUUGGUAAGGUAACGGCUUACCAAGGCGACGAUCCGUAGCCGACCUGAGUGGGUGGUCGGCCACACUGGAACUGAGACACGGUCCAGACUCCUACGGGAGGCAGCAGUAGGGAAUCUUCCGCAAUGGGCGAAAGCCUGACGGAGCAACGCCGCGUGAGUGAUGAAGGUCUUCGGAUCGUAAAACUCUGUUGUUAGGGAAGAACAAAUUCGUUAGUAACUGAACAAGUCUUGACGGUACCUAACCAGAAAGCCACGGCUAACUACGUGCCAGCCGCCGCGGUAAGAC